UAUACCCAUUUUCUCUCUCCUCUAACCUCUCACCAUCUUCUCUCUCAUCAACUCCAUUUUCUCUCUCCAUUUUUUUUACUGAUAUGGCAAAUCACCGGCGGCGCCACCACCACCUCCAUCAUAAUAUCACCAGCUACAUUGAUUUUCUCGGUGGUUUCUCCAAGCAAUUACCUCCAUCGUCGGCGUUAUGUUUCUCUGUUUCUUCGUCCUUUCCUUUUUCGCUCCUCGUCCUUCUCGCCUCCUUCACCGUGGUCGCACUCGCAGCUAGCUCAUCCUCCUCAUCUGUCAGAUGUUCUUGAGCUUCUGGAGCUGAUUCAUCGUCGGCGAUUUAUAAAUCUCAUAGAUGCGUGAAUUACCUCAGGAAGCACAAUUUUAGUUUUGUAAAGAAGCCAAAAAAGAUGAUGCAGAGGAUGCAAUGAUCUAAUUUUGUGUUCAGUUGCUUUAUGGUUCGUGCUCAAGUACACAUGGAAGGUAAAUGUUAAUAAGAAUGCGGCAACGAAAGAAAAAAAAAUUGAUUUAGAAAUGGAAGAUAUGGUAUGAAGAGAUGUUGUAAGAAUUGAAGAAGAAUUGAAGGCAGAAGCAACAAGAAAAGAAUCUGGAAAUAAGGUCGCAGAUAGAAAGAGAAAAGAGACCGAUGUACAUAAAAAGUGAAAGCCGAAAGGAAGGAAGCAGAAAAAUUAGAAGCAUAUAGAAAGAGAAAAUUGGAAGUAGAAGUAAAUAAAUGAAAUGUUCAUUUUUUAAACAUGAAUGUUCAUUUGUGUG